rnacentral:lncRNA from 1 species
UUCCAAACAAAUACAAUGGCGGAUAAUCAUAUCCUAUUACAACUAAGGCAAUGCAAAACACUGUGCUUGACUAGAAGAAAAUCAAAGAACAAACGAUGAACCUAUAGUCCUAUACCAAUAGAGAAUAAAUAAUAAUUCAGCGUCAGAUUAAGUGUAAUUAAUUGUAUUUUUGUGUGCUACACUACAACGGCGUCGUCUCCUCUCUUUGCUGGAGCCUCUGCAUUUUCCACUCGCGAUUGGUGACCACCUUGUUUCAUGGUGCUGUUGGUGCUGGUGGGCAGAGGGUGUUGGGGUCCCAUGUACUACCUUUACACGAGGCUCCCGCCGGCUUCAUCUGUAGAGGCGGCAGCUUGUGCCACACCUUCCAGACCGACGACGGCAGCACGAUGACCGAGCCGGCGGCGCUGGCCGGGGCCUGCUGCUCGACCCGGCGACCGUCGUCGGCCAGCAGCGGCCUCGCGGCGUCGGCCGGAGGACAAGUCCAAGAGCUCGACAGGACCACGAACAGCAGGAGCAAUGGGACAACAACCUUUGAUCUCGUCAUGGAGUUUACUUGGAUAGCACAGUAAUAUAAACUGAUCUCUCGCUCUCAGUUUUUAGCUUAUCCAGCAGCUACU